rnacentral:rRNA from 1 species
GCGCAGCAGUCGCGAAAACUCCGCAAUACGCGAAAGCGUGACGGGGCCAUCCCGAGUGUCGUCCGCUGAGGAUGGCUUUUCCCCGGUGUAGAUAGCUGGGGGAAUAAGGAGAGGGCAAGUCUGGUGUCAGCCGCCGCGGUAAUACCAGCUCUCCGAGUGGUAGGGAUGUUUAUUGGGCCUGAAGCGUCCGUAGCUGGCUGAACAAGUCCUCCGUUAAAUCCAGCGAUUUAAUCGUUGGAUUGCGGGGGAUACUGCUGAGCUAGGAGGUGGGAGAGGCCGACGGUAUUCUCGGAGUAGGGGUGAAAUCCUAUAAUCCCGGGAGGACCACCAGUGGCGAAGGCUGUUGGCUAGAACGCGCCCGACAGUGAGGGAUGAAAGCUGGGGGAGCGAACCGGAUUAGAUACCCGGGUAGUCC